UGGGGGAUAUUGCACAAUGGGGGGAACCCUGAUGCAGCGACGCCGCGUGAGCGAAGAAGUGCCUCGGCAUGUAAAGCUCUAUCAGCAGGGAAGAGAGAGGACGGUACCUGACUAAGAAGCCCCGGCUAAAUACGUGCCAGCAGCCGCGGUAAUACGUAUGGGGCAAGCGUUAUCCGGAUUUACUGGGUGUAAAGGGAGCGUAGGCGGCCAGGCAAGUCUGGUGUGAAAACCCGGGGCCCAACCCCGGGCGUGCAUUGGAAACUGCCUGGCUGGAGUGCCGGAGGGGCAGGCGGAAUUCCUAGUGUAGCGGUGAAAUGCGUAGAUAUUAGGAGGAACACCGGUGGCGAAGGCGGCCUGCUGGACGGCAACUGACGCUGAGGCUCGAAAGCGUGGGGAGCAAACAGG
rnacentral:rRNA from 1 species